UACGGAGGAUGCGAGCGUUAUCCGGAUUUAUUGGGUUUAAAGGGUGCGUAGGCGGGCUUUUAAGUCAGCGGUAAAAAUUCGGGGCUCAACCCCGUCCGGCCGUUGAAACUGGGGGUCUUGAGUGGGCGGGAAGAAGGCGGAAUGCGUGGUGUAGCGGUGAAAUGCAUAGAUAUCACGCAGAACCCCGAUUGCGAAGGCAGCCUUCCGGCGCCCUACUGACGCUGAGGCACGAAAGUGCGGGGAUCGAACAGG
rnacentral:rRNA from 1 species